rnacentral:rRNA from 1 species
GAUGAACGCUAGCGGGAGGCUUAACACAUGCAAGUCGAGGGGCAUCACGAGGUAGCAAUACUUUGGUGGCGACCGGCGCACGGGUGAGUAACGCGUAUGCAACCUACCCUGUACAGGGGGAUAGCCCGGAGAAAUUCGGAUUAAUACCCCAUAAUGAUAUUUUAUGGCAUCAUAAAAUAUUUAAAGCUCAGGCGGUACGGGAUGGGCAUGCGUAACAUUAGCUAGUUGGUAGGGUAAUGGCCUACCAAGGCGACGAUGUUUAGGGGUCCUGAGAUGGUGAUCCCCCACACUGGUACUGAGACACGGACCAGACUCCUACGGGAGGCAGCAGUGAGGAAUAUUGGUCAAUGGGCGCGAGCCUGAACCAGCCAUCCCGCGUGAAGGAAGAAUGCCCUAUGGGUUGUAAACUUCUUUUGUAUAGGAAGAAACUCCUGAACGUGUUCAGGACUGACGGUACUAUAUGAAUAAGCAUCGGCUAACUCCGUGCCAGCCGCCGCAGUAACAC